AUGAAAUGGAUAGGCAAGUUCCUUUAAUGGACGGAUUGACACUAAGGACCAAGGAUUGGAAGUGAUAAAAGAAGGUUUGGAUAAAUUGAAAGACAUGGCCCGUGAUUUGAAUGAGGAAAUUGAUAGGCAAGUUCCUUUAAUGGACGGAUUGACACUAAGGUCGACAAUGCAGCAUCUGACCUUAAGAACACCAAUGUGAGACUUAAGGAUACUGUUAACCAAG